CGUCCCAUUAGCUAGUUGAUGAGCCAAGAGCCUACCAACGCAUUGAUCGAGGAAAUGGCUUGACAGGACAAUCAUCCACACUGGGACUGAGACGCAGCCCAGACUCCCACGGAAUGCAUCACUGGCCAAUUUUCCACAAUGAGGCGAAAGCCUGACAGAUCGAUACCGCGUGAGGGACCAAGGCCUGUGAGGUGUAAACCUCUUUUCUCGUCUAAGAAAAUCUGACCGUACCUGAUGAAUAGGAAUCGAUAACUCCGUGCCAUUCAGCCGCGGUAAGACGGAGGAUGAAAACGUUAUCCGGAAUUAUUGGGCGUAAAGCGUCCGCAGGCGGACUCGUAAGUCUGUCUUCAAAGCGUGGAGCUUAACUCCAUAAAGGGGAUGGAAACUGCGAGACUAGAGGUAGGUAGGGGUAGAAGGAAUUCCCAGUGUAGCGAGUGAAAUGCGUAGAUAUUGGGAAGAACACCAGCAGCGAAGGCGUUCUACUGGACCAAACCUGACGCUCAUGGACGAAAGCUAGGGGAGCGAAAGGGAUUAGAUACCCCUGUAGUCCUAGCCGUAAACGAUGGACACUAGGUGUUGCACGUAUCGACCCGUGCAGUGCCGUAGCCAACGCGUGAAGUGUCCCGCCUGGGGAGUACGCUCGCAAGAGUGAAACUCAAAGGAAUUGACGGGGGCCCUCACAACCGGUGGACUAUGUGGUUUAAUUCGAUGCAACGCGAAGAACCUUACCAAGGCUUGACAUCCUGCGAAUCCUGUCGAAAGUCCGGAGUGCCUCUCGGCAGCGCACAGACAGGUGGAGCAUGGCUGUCGUCAGUUCUCGUCUCGAUAGAUGGGUUAAGUCCCGUUACGAGGGCAACCCACGACCUUAGUUGCCAGCAUUUAGUGGGGGACUCUAGGGAAACCGCCAGUGAUAAACCGGAGGAAG
rnacentral:rRNA from 1 species